UCACCUACACAAGUGACUCUGCCCUCUUGGAAGACCAGCAUUUGUGUCAACUAAGCCCCAACCCUGUUAUCUUCAGUGGUUUCAUACAAAAGAGACUGUAAAAUUGACUACCUGGACCCUGCAAUCACCUACACAAGUGACUCUGCCCUCUUGGAAGACCAGCAUUUGUGUCAACUAAGCCCCAACCCUGUUAUCUUCAGUGGUUUCAUACAAAAGAGACUGUAAAAUUGACUACCUGGACCCUGCAAUCACCUACACAAGUGACUCUGCCCUCUUGGAAGACCAGCAUUUGUGUCAACUAAGCCCCAACCCUGUUAUCUUCAGUGGUUUCAUACAAAAGAGACUGUAAAAUUGACUACCUGGACCCUGCAAUCACCUACACAAGUGACUCUGCCCUCUUGGAAGACCAGCAUUUGUGUCAACUAAGCCCCAACCCUGUUAUCUUCAGUGGUUUCAUACAAAAGAGACUGUAAAAUUGACUACCUGGACCCUGCAAUCACCUACACAAGUGACUCUGCCCUCUUGGAAGACCAGCAUUUGUGUCAACUAAGCCCCAACCCUGUUAUCUUCAGUGGUUUCAUACAAAAGAGACUGUAAAAGUAUGUUAUUUAUACAUGUUUAAAUACAAAUCCUCUGACCUGAGUAUCUUACUCUAGCUACCUGCCCAGGACUGCCAGCAGCCAACAGCCCUAGUUCUUAACCCUAUACUUCUCCAGACCUUUAUCUAUUA